UAAUUGACCAAUUAUUUUAUAUGAAGCCUCAUUCGAAAGGAAUAUGUUUGUCAAGACAACUGACUCUAUACUCUUUUUUUUUUACUACAAUUGGGAGUGUUGUUAGGCAGAGAAUCAUUGGAUUAUCAAAAUCAUCGAAUUAUGUAUGGUGAGGUUAUCACCAAGCUUCAUAACGUUUCUCUAGCAUGGUCACUGCAGGAUGGAGUUCAGAGUAAUCUCUCAUGAAUGUAUGUAUUUUUCAUUUAACCCUCAACCCAACUUCUAGUUAUCUACUGAAGAACAAAGGCGAAGCAUUCAG
rnacentral:misc_RNA from 1 species